rnacentral:rRNA from 1 species
AGUGAACGCUGGCGGUAGGCCUAACACAUGCAAGUCGAACGGCAGCACAGUAAGAGCUUGCUCUUACGGGUGGCGAGUGGCGGACGGGUGAGGAAUACAUCGGAAUCUACUUUUUCGUGGGGGAUAACGUAGGGAAACUUACGCUAAUACCACAUACGACCUACGGGUGAAAGCAGGGGAUCUUCGGACCUUGCGCGAUUGAAUGAGCCGAUGUCGGAUUAGCUAGUUGGCGGGGUAAAGGCCCACCAAGGCGACGAUCCGUAGCUGGUCUGAGAGGAUGAUCAGCCACACUGGAACUGAGACACGGUCCAGACUCCUACGGGAGGCAGCAGUGGGGAAUAUUGGACAAUGGGCGCAAGCCUGAUCCAGCCAUACCGCGUGGGUGAAGAAGGCCUUCGGGUUGUAAAGCCCUUUUGUUGGGAAAGAAAAGCAGCAGGUUAAUACCCCGCUGUUCUGACGGUACCCAAAGAAUAAGCACCGGCUAACUCCGUG